CUGAAAGUAACACAAUCCAUACCUCUACUUCUCAGUUUCCCUAUCUAUAAAAUAUGGGAAUAGAUGACUUCUAAAAUCUCUUUCAGAUCUAAAUGGAGGGAUCCUAUGAUGCCAUUGUGAAACAAACAGGUGACAGUUGUGAAGCAAUAUCCUACUGAGUCUGCAAACCUUGACCAGAUUACAACAAACCCACAGAAAGGACAUGGUAAGUGUCCAAGUCUAGGAGGAGUGAAAACAUGAAGACAUACAUGAAACCCUUGGAGUCUGAGUUAAGGCUCUGUCUACAAUGACGUCAAUGGAUAGGGUUGAAAAAAAAGUCAGCCUCUAGGUACAACAAAUGUAUAAAUAUGUGAAGGAAUCUAUUAUCAUGAAAAUGAUUUUGAAUAGACAAAGUAAUGGCUUGGAAUCCCUUCAAAGAACAUGGACCUAGAGAAGUUGUAACUUACUUCACUACUUGGGUGGCUUUCCCAGGAACACGACUCCUUCUCUUGAGAGAGAAUCUCUCUUCGGAAAGUAUGAUCACCCAAGCAUGUCUGACACAGUGAAGGUUCAAAUUCGGACUCCCCCUGAUGUCUGUGCAUCACUGAAGGUCCUGUGUACUUCAGGUUGGUACUCUUUUCCACACUGACCAUUGGGCUCUUAAUCCAUCUUCGUACCUAAAAAUAUAUAAAACAAAGUGUUAAA